rnacentral:lncRNA from 1 species
AAAUUUUGUCCACAUAAUCUCCCUGCAAAAUGAAACAAAAUGUAGUUUUAAAGAAUAGGGGUCCAUGCACUCGUUUUCAAAUUAAAUCAGUUUGAAUGAUAAAAAUCAGUCGAAAAAUGCAUCUUUUCCCGAUAUGUCAUAGUUUGACGUCGCGAAAAUAACAUUUUACGUUAGCAACGUCAUUACCUCCCCUGUAACUGUAUCGUAUGCCCUUAAGCAAUAUUA